CCUUAUAGCUGUAUCAGUUGUAAGAGUUAGUAGCAUAGGGUUAUGAUCAGAUAUAAGGGGAUGACCAUAUACAGUGUGUACAUGGUUCCAUUUCAUCUGCCAUUCAAAAUUACCAAACAUUCUAUCUAGUCUACUACAUACUCUAUCAUUACCACCAAUACCAAUCACUACUAGUUACUACCUUAUCCUACCCGGUCAGACCUGCCCGACUCGCCAACCCAAUCAGAAACAAAAAGGACAGAGUUGUUCUAGUUCUUUCUUCUUCAUUUUUCGAGCAAAGGCAAAAAGAAGCAGAUCCUUCUCUUCCUCUAAUAAACAACCUUCAAAUGCAACAAAAAAAACACCAGCAAAGCCCACUCAAAUCUGUGAUUUCCA
rnacentral:lncRNA from 1 species